rnacentral:rRNA from 1 species
CAGUCGCCACGGUAAUACGUAGGUGGCAAGCGUUGUCCGGAAUUAUUGGGCGUAAAGGGCUCGCAGGCGGUUUCUUAAGUCUGAUGUGAAAGCCCCCGGCUCAACCGGGGAGGGUCAUUGGAAACUGGGAAACUUGAGUGCAGAAGAGGAGAGUGGAAUUCCACGUGUAGCGGUGAAAUGCGUAGAGAUGUGGAGGAACACCAGUGGCGAAGGCGACUCUCUGGUCUGUAACUGACGCUGAGGAGCGAAAGCGUGGGGAGCGAACAGGAUUAGAUACCCGCGUAGUCUCUGUCUCUUAUAA